rnacentral:tRNA from 1 species
UUAACCAAAGCCAAUACUAUUUGAGGCAAAUCAUUGUUAAUGAUAGAAAGAUUUUAACUCUGGUUAAU